AUCUCUUCAACGGUGUUAUCCGCUGAAGAACUGAGGAGCUUUCGUGAGGCCCGCGAAACCAGAUAAGAGGAAACCAAGAGAAACCAAGAAACCGGGAGCCUUGGAGAAGCCUUUCCCAUGGCGAGCCUCCAUCUCACCGAUUCAAACCCCGUCCUCCUGAAACCCUCCCUCUUCUCUUUUUCCUAUAUAAGUCGGCGUAGCCACCGUCUCCGCCUCCCUCGCGCUUCUCUCUCCUCCCCCUCCCCCUCCUCUCCUUCCCUCAAGACUCGCCGCCGGUUCAUAGCCGAGACCACCUCCGCCCCCCUCUUGCUCGCCCCCCUCGUUGGCCUCCAGCCGCCGCCCGCGAGGUCCGACGAACCCAACCUCUCUGAAUGGGAGCGCGUCUACCUCCCCAUCGACCCCGGCGUCGUCCUUCUCGACAUCGCCUUCGUCCCCGACGACAUGAACCACGGUUUUCUAUUGGGAACAAGACAAACUAUAUUGGAGACUAAAGAUGGAGGAAAUCUUUGGCUCCCACGCUCCAUACCUUCUGCGGAAGAUGAUGACUUUAACUACAGAUUCAAUUCCAUAAGCUUCAAGGGGAAGGAAGGUUGGAUUGUUGGAAAACCUGCAAUUUUGUUGUAUACAUCAGAUGCUGGAGAAAGCUGGGAAAGAAUACCUUUGAGUGCACAACUUCCUGGAGAUAUGGUUUACAUCAAAGCAAUUGGCGAAAAGAGUGCAGAAAUGGUCACUGAUGAAGGAGCAAUCUAUGUCACAUCAAAUCGAGGGUACAAUUGGAAGGCUGCUGUGCAAGAGACCGUAUCAGCUACUCUUAACCGAACAGUUUCUAGUGGCAUUAGUGGUGCAAGCUACUAUACAGGAACCUUUAACACAGUAAACCGCUCUCCUGAUGGCAGAUAUGUUGCUGUCUCAAGUCGUGGGAACUUCUACUUAACCUGGGAACCUGGCCAGCCUUACUGGCAACCUCAUAACAGAGCAGUUGCACGGAGAAUUCAAAAUAUGGGAUGGAGGGCUGAUGGUGGUCUUUGGCUUCUAGUGCGUGGUGGUGGGCUUUACCUCAGUAAAGGCACCGGGAUCACAGAGGAAUUUGAGGAAGUUCCUGUUCAGAGUCGGGGAUUUGGUAUUCUUGAUGUUGGUUACCGCUCAAAGAGCUGCGAGAGGGUUGUACCUAGUCAUCUAGGUCAAGUGAUAUUCAACCGGUGCCUGACUCCAAAAGUUCUUAUUUGGGGCAUGCCCAAGUAUACUACUAACUGGACCACUGUUGAUGAAAUUGUCCACAUGCAAAUCACAUACAAAUCAUGAAGGUUUGGAGGAUGAAGCAUGGGCAGCUGGGGGAAGUGGCAUCUUGUUGAGAACAAUAAAUGGAGGAAAGACCUGGACACGUGAUAAAACUGCAGACAGUAUUGCAGCAAAUCUAUAUUCAGUAAAAUUUAUCGCCGAUAACAAAGGUUUUGUACUAGGGAAUGAUGGUGUCUUGCUGCGAUAUCUUGGUUGAUGCAAGGAGCUCCGAAAGAAAAUUCAGUUUUGUGAAGCUAUAUAUAUUCGUUUUAUAUUAUUAUUUACAGUGGUCAUGAUAGUCGUUCAACUCAGAUUCUCACUGUGAGCUGUACAGCUAUCUGUACCUUUGCUCCAACCGACUGCAACUGCUUUUUACAUGAGCUAUAUGGAAAUAUGUAUAAAUCUACAUUAAGAAAAAAGAAAAUCUGCUGUGCGAAUGGUGCGGGUUGAUAUUCCUUCGACUCAGAUUCUCACCGUGGCGUGUAACAGCAGCGAACAUCUAUGCAUUUUGAUUGACAGCUUGGUUGACCUCA